GCGAUACAGGGUGACAGCCCCGUACACAAAAAUGCACAUGCUGUGAGCUCGAUGAGUAGGGCGGGACACGUGGUAUCCUGUCUGAAUAUGGGGGGACCAUCCUCCAAGGCUAAAUACUCCUGACUGACCGAUAGUGAACCAGUACCGUGAGGGAAAGGCGAAAAGAACCCCGGCGAGGGGAGUGAAAAAGAACCUGAAACCGUGUACGUACAAGCAGUGGGAGCCUCUUAAUGGGGUGACUGCGUACCUUUUGUAUAAUGGGUCAGCGACUUAUAUUCUGUAGCAAGGUUAACCGAAUAGGGGAGCCGAAGGGAAACCGAGUCUUAACUGGGCGUUAAGUUGCAGGGUAUAGACCCGAAACCCGGUGAUCUAGCCAUGGGCAGGUUGAAGGUUGGGUAACACUAACUGGAGGACCGAACCGACUAAUGUUGAAAAAUUAGCGGAUGACUUGUGGCUGGGGGUGAAAGGCCAAUCAAACCGGGAGAUAGCUGGUUCUCCCCGAAAGCUAUUUAGGUAGCGCCUCGUGAAUUCAUCUCCGGGGGUAGAGCACUGUUUCGGCAAGGGGGUCAUCCCGACUUACCAACCCGAUGCAAACUGCGAAUACCGGAGAAUGUUAUCACGGGAGACACACGGCGGGUGCUAACGUCCGUCGUGAAGAGGGAAACAACCCAGACCGCCAGCUAAGGUCCCAAAGUCAUGGUUAAGUGGGAAACGAUGUGGGAAGGCCCAGACAGCCAGGAUGUUGGCUUAGAAGCAGCCAUCAUUUAAAGAAAGCGUAAUAGCUCACUGGUCGAGUCGGCCUGCGCGGAAGAUGUAACGGGGCUAAACCAUGCACCGAAGCUGCGGCAGCGACGCUUAUGCGUUGUUGGGUAGGGGAGCG
rnacentral:rRNA from 1 species